rnacentral:lncRNA from 1 species
ACAGCUACCUCGCGCCUUUUAAUGCCAAUUCAUCAGGAACUGGUGUGAGCGAGGGGUGGGAAGAGAUGUGAGAAGGGCCGCGCUGAAAGAUAAGAGCGGGCGGUCUUGGAGCUCCAAGUGCACCACGCAAGCCGUGGGAGUCAUUCUCAACAAGACACAUCCAGGGAAGCUGGAUUUAACAUGAUCCAGUCUCCCAAGGGCCAAGCCCGGGCUUGGGGAGGAGGGGGAGUUAGUGGUGAGAGUUUACCUUAGAAGGCUGCAGCGAACAGACAGGCCUUUCAAAGCCACCUAGGGCUCUGCCCCGAGGCCCGAAGCGGCGCGUGGCUGCGAGCCCCGCAGCGCCACAGGUUCCCCAGCGCGCGGCCGUGCCCGACUCCCACAGGAAGUGGCCGCUGGAGAGAUGCUGGAGGCCAAAGUUCUGGGCGAUCCUCUGGCACACGGUGCCCUUGCCCGAGCCGGGCGGCCCAAGGAUGACCGCGCGCAGGAGUUUGGAAGCCAUUGCCUUGGUGAGGAAGGGGAGGCCGAACGAGCAACCCAGACCGCGGCCUCGGACACAACCCGGGAACUUUGUUGCUUCUGCCCCUGCUUCUGACACCCUGGGCUCCCGCGGGGACUCGCCGCCGCCCCUGCAGGGGAAGGAGAGACUUUUGAGACAACCCCUCCCCUCAGCCGCGCGUCGGGGCGGCUUGAAGGCGGAGUAAGCGCCACGCUACAGCUCCCCGCCCUCCCCGCCCUCCUCGCCCCUAGGCUGCGACUCCGAAGAACUCCCAAGCGCCUGCCCCUAGCGGGGGCAGCCCUGAAAAACUCGGGGGUCAGCCCGGCCCCUCCCAUCUCUAUCCCUUACUAGAUCUCGCGCCCCACGCCCCGUCCGGGGAGGGGGCCGGCCGGCCGGGCAUCCCCAACGCCAGUCUCUACCGAGUGCAGGAGCCGGGAGAGGCGGUGACCCCAAGCAGGACCCCCGUCGCCCCACGCCCGGGGCAACCUAGGGGCCCAGCCCCAACCCGGGUCCCCGCACGUGGGCAGCGUUUGGUCCGCGCCUCGGCCCUUCCUCGGCCGCCGUUGCAUCCCGGGAGAAGCAGCGGGCCAGCCCAGCGCCCACCUCCGCCGAGGGGAGACGGAUGCGCUUCCCGCCGCGAGGAGCCGGAGACCGGCGCCUCUCCACCCCGAGUGGCCAAAUAAACACACACCUCGGCCGGGACGCGGCA